rnacentral:rRNA from 1 species
UACGUAGGUGGCAAGCGUUGUCCGGAUUUACUGGGCGUAAAGAGCGCGCAGGCGGUCAUUCAAGUCGAGUGUGAAAGCCCCCGGCUCAACUGGGGAGGGUCACUCGAUACUGUUUGACUCGAAGGCGGGAGAGGGAAGUGGAAUUCUCGGUGUAGCGGUGAAAUGCGUAGAUAUCGAGAGGAACACCUGCGGCGAAGGCGGGUUGCUGGGCCGACACUGACGCUGAUGCGCGAAAGCCAGGGGAGGCGAACGGG